rnacentral:lncRNA from 1 species
CUCUGCCUCCUGAGUGCUGGGUAAAGGCACCAGAGUGCAGUGUUUACUGAGCCGGAAUGAACUUGUUCUGCCCAGUGUGAUGAGUAGCAGGCACAUGACCGCUGAAGUUUUAACCGUUAGGUAAAGGUAUAGUUCAUAUGCAGUGAAAGGCAAUAUAUAUCUCUGUAUAUAGAUAAAUUGACCUGGUAAGCUCAACUAAUACUAUGUAACUGCAUUGAUUUUAAUUGUUAUCAGAUCGAGGAAGGUCAGCUUUCCAGGAAACUCCCUCUUGUUCCUCCACCAUAGGGAAUAUACACUGUCCUAAGCUCUGUGUUUAUAGGUUGGUCUGCUUGCUUUGAAUGCUGUGAGUCAAGCAACUCACGUUAGAAACCUGCUCACUUCCACAUGGGCAUUAUGGCCCAUAAGCUCAAUAAAUACUCAACACAAACAUAAAAGAAAAGAAAAGAAACCCUUUGAGUUUGGUUUCCUACCCAGCUUAAUUUCUUUGCCUUUUUUGUUUUUCUUUUCUUGUUUUCUUUUGUUAUUCAAAAUAGGGUUUCUCCACAGAGCCUUGGCAGUCCUGAAACUAUUUAAACCAGGUUAGCCCCGAACUCAGAUCUGCCUGCCUCUGCAGGCAGAUUUCUGGGAGGCCGGACUGGUCUACAGAAUGAGUUCCAGGACAGCCUGGGCUACACAGAAAAACCCUGUCUCAAAAAAUCAAAAAAAAAAAAAAAAAAAAAAUUAACAGACUAGCCUAGACUAGCCUCAAACUUACUAUGUAGCCAAGGAUGAUCUUGAAUUUUUAAUCCUCCUGCCUCCACCUCCUGAGUGCUGGGGUUACUAGUGUACAUCACCUCACCUGGUUUUCUUUGGUGCUAGGGAUCCAAUCUCGGACCUGGGCAUGCUGAGAACUCACUGCCAACUAAGCUACAUCCCCAGUCCACAAGUCUUUUAAAAUACUUGUACUGAUUUCUCAUAAGUAUAUAUAUAUAUCAAGAAGCAUCUUGCAGGGAUAGUGCAUGGUUAAUAGUAUCAGAUUCUAAGAUGGUCACAGCAGCACAUACCUGUAAUCCAACACUUGGAAAGUAAAAGUAGGAGACUUAGCCCCAGCUCCACAGCAAGCUUGACACCAACGUGGACUACGUAGCAUCAAGAGAGAAAGAGACAGAGGAGAGAAAAGGCAGGGGAGGAGGAAGGAAAACAGAAGGAGAGAAAAGAUAGCUCGGUGGGAAAGCACAAUUGCUGAAUCUGAUCCCCAGGUCUCACAAGAUGGACAGAGGACCAGCUCUGGCCAGUUGUUCCACAUGAGUGGACAUACAUGCUCCCCGCCCCCAUGAAAUAAACAAUUGUAGUAAACAUUUUAAAAAGACAGCAACAACAGAGACCACGCAGACACAGAAAGGAAGGAAUCAAUCAUGUGUUGUCUGGGGCUGUAAGAUCUGAAGGCUUCACCAAAGUCUGGGGGAUCCCCUUUCCAGGAGGUCACUCACUACUUCCUCCACACAGGGACUCCUCCACACAGACGGGGAAGUGUCCUUAUGACACAAGGACUGACUUCCCCAAGAGUGAGCCCACAGAAAGAGAAAGAAACCAGGAGGAAGCUGUAAUUCUUUUUAUGGCCAAACAUCCAAAGUUGUCUACUUCUGCUGUUGUCACAGGCUAUGUAUUCAAAGUCUGACUCCCGUUCAAGAGUGGGAAAAGCUGCUCUCUCCCUUAGAGGGCGGAACUUGACAAAGAAUUUGGUAGAACUUUUAAAAAUGUAUAUGGGUGUUUUGCCUGGGAUGUUCUGAGACCAGAAGGGGGCAUCAGAUCCCCUGGAACUUACACAUGAUUGUAAGCUGCCAUGCAGGUGCUGGGAAUUGAACCUGUGUCCUCUAGGAUGAGCAGCCUGUGCCCUUAACCACUGAGCCAUCUCUCCACUCCCUCAGUACUGAUCUUAAAAUGCAUAGUUCUCACAGCUAGAUGGAAUGAAAAUCUGAGGAGUUGAUGCUACAAAAUAAAACAUUGCUGCUAUGUGGAGCCUGGCAGAGAGAUUCUGGCACACAGACUGGGCAACAAUGCCAGAUGGUGACCUGGGGUAUCAAGGAGGAAAGGCAGAGACAAAGCAUGGCGGCACAUGCCUGUAGACCCAACACUUGGAAAGCAUGACAGCACGAUAUCAUGUUUGAGGUCAGCCUGGGCUACAUAGAACCCUGUCUCAGAAAAAAAAUCCACAAAAAUCAGAGCUGGAGAAAUGGCUCGGUGUUUAAGAGUGCUUGCUAUUCUUACAGAGGACAUGACUUCAAUUCCCAGCACCCAUGCCAGGGAGCUAACAACUUUCUGUAACUUUAGCUCCAGAGAAUCUGAGGCCUUCUAGCCUCUAUGGAUACCCAAAUAUAUGUAAAUGUCUUAGAAAGAAAUAAUGGAUAAUCUUAGUCCUCACACCAGGAAAUACAAGAACAAGACCCAAGUACCCAAGCCAGGCAACUGUUUUGUAUGUUGUUGUUGUUUGUUUUGUUUUUGUUUUUGUUUUUGUUUUAGAAAAAGGCACACCAAGACUCAAACAAGUCUAGCAAGCACACUAAGGCCAAGUGCUCCUUGUCUUCUUUAUCUUGGGAGAUGAAUGCAUCUCAUCCCUUUGGUCGGGGCUCUACUUCAGAGUCUCAUGUGACUGUCAAAGCUUCACAAAGAGGGAGGGGAAGGUCAGGGAGUAUGAGUCCUUGCUGGAAUAGCUAUGAAAGAAAGAAAGAAAGAAAGAAAGAAAGAAAGAAAGAAAGAAAGAAAGAUUAAUUUAAACUGGAUGGUGGUGGUGUUGCAUGUCUUUAAUCCCAGCAUUUGGAAGGCAAAAACAUGCAGAUAUCUGGGUUUAAGGCCACGUAGUCUACAUAAUGAGUUCCAGGUCAGCCAGAGAAGCCCUGCCUCAAAAAACAAAAACCAAGAAGAACAAAAAAAAUGUAAUAGAGCAGGGCAGUGGUGGCGCAUGCCUUUA